AUGGCUGGUGCUAAGAUUGGGGCAAGAAAUACACAAGAUGAGACUGGAACAACUUGUAACUCCAGAAAAGUAGUGGCGACGUCUGGUCGGUCCAAGCGUGAAUCUCGUGGUUCUACCCGCGGGAAGCGCGAGUCCGAGUCGCAGGGCAGCUCGGGUCGCGUCAAGCGGGAUCGAGAUCGGGAGCGGGAAGCCGAGGCGCCGAGCUCCCGAGGCAGCCCCGUGCGUGUGAAGCGGGAGGUCGAGCCGGUGAGCGCACGGGAGGCCCCGACGCCCGUGGUCCCGGCUGUGCGGGUGAAGCGGGAGCGGGAGGCCGACGAGGACUCUGAGCCUGAGCGGAAGGUGCGAGCAAAGAAUGGCCGCGUGGAUUCCGAGGACCGGAGGAGCCGCCAUUGCCCAUACCUGGAUACCAUUAACAGGAGUGUGCUGGACUCUGACUUUGAGAAACUGUGUUCCAUCUCCCUCUCACAUAUCAAUGCAUAUGCCUGUCUCGUGUGUGGCAAGUACUUUCAGGGCCGGGGUUUGAAGUCUCAUGCCUACAUUCACAGCGUCCAGUUUAGCCACCAUGUCUUCCUCAACCUCCACACCCUCAAAUUCUACUGCCUUCCAGACAACUAUGAGAUCAUCGAUUCCUCGCUGGAGGAUAUCACAUAUGUGUUGAAGCCCACUUUCACAAAGCAGCAGAUUGCAAACUUGGACAAGCAAGCCAAAUUGUCCCGGGCUUAUGAUGGUACCACUUACCUGCCAGGCAUCGUGGGCCUGAAUAACAUAAAGGCCAACGACUAUGCCAAUGGUGUCCUUCAGGCUUUGUCUAAUGUUCCUCCUCUCCGGAGCUACUGUUGGAAGAAGACAAUUAUAAGAACAUCAAGCGUCCUCCAGGGGAUAUCAUGUUCUUGUUGGUCCAGAGUUUUGGAGAGCUGAUGAGAAAGCUCUGGAACCCUCGAAAUUUCAAGGCACAUGUCUCUCCCUAUGAGAUGCUUCAGGCUGUUGUCCUUUGCAGCAAGAAGACCUUUCAGAUCACCAAGCAAGGGGAUGGAGUUGACUUUCUGUCCCGGUUUCUGAAUGCUCUACACUCAGCGCUGGGGGGCACAAAGAAGAAAAAGACUAUUGUGACUGAUGUUUUCCAGGGGUCCAUGAGGAUCUUCACUUAAAAGCUUCCUCAUCCUGAUCUGCCCGCAGAAGAAAAAGAACAGCUGCUGCACAAUGACGAGUACCAGGAGACAAUGGUGGAGUCCACCUUCAUGUACCUGACUCUGUAUCUCCCUACCGCUCCCCUCCACAAGGACGAGAAGGAGCAGCUCAUUAUCCUUCAGGUGCCGCUCUUCAACUUCCUGGCCAAGUUCAACGGCAUUACGGAGAAGGAAUAUAAGACCUACAAGGAGAACUUUCUAAAACGCUUCCAGCUCGCCAAGCUCCCUCCAUAUCUCAUCUUUUGUAUUAAGAGAUUCACUAAAAACAAUUUCUUUGUGGAGAAGAAUCCAACUAUUGUCAACUUUCCUAUUACAAAUGUGGAUCUGAGAGAGUACUUGUCUGAGGAAGUACAAGCAGUGCAUAAGAAUACCACCUACGACCUCAUUGCCAACAUUGUCCAUGAGGGCAAGCCCUCGGAGGGCUCCUACCGGAUCCAUGUGCUCCAUCAUGGGACGGGCAAAUGGUAUGAAUUACAAGACCUGCAGGUGACUGACAUCCUUCCCCAGAUGAUCACGCUCUCGGAGGCUUACAUUCAGAUUUGGAAGAGGCGAGAUAAUUAUGAAACCAACCAGCAGGGGGCUUGAAGGAGGAGUUUAGGGUUUUGCUCCCCAGGGCUUUGGCUGAAGAUGUAAUAAUAGCAAAGCUGUAGCUGACCAUGGGCUGACUGGCACAUUCCCUGAGCCAACCCGUUUUGUGGGUUCGGGUUCACACCAGGGCAUCAGAGGGGCCCACCCACCUGGGAUGGCUCUGCACCGUCACCCAGCUCUUCUGAGAUCAGUUGAUUAUAGAUUGAUGCUCCUUUCUCCUUCCUGUCGAGCUCCCCUCUAGUUUCAGCAGGCCAGAACUCCUUAACAGAUGUAUAUAAUAUCUUUCUGGGCAUCUGGGAGUAUCUGAAGGGCAAGAUGAUGUCUUUUACACAUCAGAGCCUCAGGAUUCUAGGAAUAAGAGCAUGAAGCCAGUAAUAUCCUUCUUUCAUCGUAGGUGUUUUUCCUGUGGUUCACUUCAUUUCCUGAUGCGUAUUUUGGAAUGGAUUAAAUGUUUUCCUGUUUUUAAA